AGACGCGGAACUGCUGGGAUCGCGCCAUGGCCUGGGCCCCUCUCCUCCUCGCGGUGCUCGUCCACGGCUCAGGUUCCCUGGUCCAGGCAGCGCUGACUCAGCCGCCCUCGGUGUCAGCGAACCUGGGACAAACCAUCCAGAUCACCUGCUCUGGGGUUAGCAGCAGCACCAGCUAUGUUGGCUGGUACCAGCAGAAGGUGCCUGGCACUGCCCCUGUCACUGUGAUCUAUAACGGCAACAACAGACCCUCGGGCAUCCCUUCGCGAUUCUCUGGAUCUUACUCUGGCUCCACAAACACACUAACCAUCUCUGGGGUGCAAGCCGAGGACGAGGCUGUCUAUUACUGUGGUGGCUGGGAGAGCAGCAGCAGCUAUGGUGUCUGGUGA